rnacentral:lncRNA from 1 species
UAAUCCCAGCACUCAGGAGGCAGAGACCAGCCUGGUCUACAGAGUGACAGUCCAGGACAGCCAGGGCUAUAAAGAGAAACCCUGUCUUGAAAAACAAACAAAAAAAAAAAAAAAAAAAAAACCCAAAAACCAAAAAACACCAAAACCAAAACCCCUAAUCUUUAGGGAAAAGAAAAAUGAUAAAAAAGAUUAAAAAAAAAAAAAAAGGUUGAAGAACAACUUAAGACCUGAUGCCUCCAUUUGUCCCUACUCCUGUGCACACAGAUUCACCACGCACAUAUAUACAAAUAAGAAUACAUAGUCCACCUAGUCCAUGGAUGUAUGGGCUCCACUGCUUUGUCACUAGCUCACUGUGUGAUCUUAAAUACAGAGCUCCCUUCCUUUAAAUGGCUAGGAGAGCUGAAGAGAAGGCUCAGAGCUUAAAGAGCACUGGCUGCUCCUCCAGAUGACUUGGGUUUGAUUCCCAACACCCACAUGAUGGCUUACAACAAUCUGUAUCUGCAGUUCCAGGAGAUUUGAUAUCCUCUUCUGGCCUUCACAGGCACCAGGCACUCACAUGCUAUGUAGACAUACAAUGCAGCAAAGCACCCAUACACAUAAAAUAAACAAAAUCGUACUUUACAUAUAAUAAAUAAAUAAAUAAAUAAAUAAAUAAAUAAAUAAAUAAAUAAAUAAAAAAAACUUUAAACACUUCCAGCCUAAAGCAGGCUGUCAUAUAAGAAACGUUUGCUUUGAGGCAUUCUUUAGAUUCUUUAAAUCGGAGUUAUAGGGCCAAGAACAGUAAAAUCUGUUCUGUUUGUAUUUUCUUCUCUCUCUCUCUUUUUUUUUUUCGAGACAGGGUUUCUCUGUGUAGCCCUGGCUGUCCUGGAACUCACUUUGUAGACCAGGCUGGCCUCGAACUCAGAAAUCUGCCUGCCUCUGCCUCCCAAGUGCUGGGAUUAAAGCCGUGCGUCA